UCUAAUUUUAUGCAUGUGGUAUUCUAUUUAAUUACAAGAAUUACAUUAAGAACAACUGCUAAUCAUCUGCUUCAGCUAAUUUCAAAGAAAAAAUGUCUAAUAGUACUUUUACAUUUUCUAAUUAGGACCCAGAAUCCGUAGCCAGCAUGAUGAGUUCAGAGACCUGGCCCCUACCCUGGGAGUAGCACAUUCAGUCAGAGAGGUUUAGGUGGAUUCAUCCAAAUACUUUAAUCCCAGAGCUCUGUCCUACAAAAAC
rnacentral:lncRNA from 1 species